UACAGAGGUCUCAAGCGUUGUUCGGAAUCACUGGGCGUAAAGGGUGCGUAGGCUGCGCGGAAAGUCGGAUGUGAAAUCCGGAGGCUUAACCUCCGAAUUGCAUUCGAUACUGCCGUGCUAGAGUUCUGAAGGGGGGUCUGGAAUUCUCGGUGUAGCAGUGAAAUGCGUAGAUAUCGAGAGGAACACUAGUGGCGAAGGCGAGACCCUGGGAAGAUACUGACGCUGAGGUACGAAGGCUAGGGUAGCAAACGGG
rnacentral:rRNA from 1 species